AAAGCAAGUUUUUACAGUCAAUGGAGUCAUCGGGAUCUGAAUAUCAUUUGCAUUUGACUGUGGACGGAGAAAGGAUGAGGCUGUCACUGGCUCGGCCAGCAUUUAUUGCUGCGUUUACCCAGUGGGCAGUUAAGAAUCAACCACGUUGCUAUAGGUCUGGAGUCCCAUGCAGACCAGACCAGAUCCCAGUGAUCAGUGCCAAAGCCCCAUUGCCUGUGGAGAGGGUGAUGUUUGAUUUCCCUGUCCAGCUGCAGUUCAUGUGGUGAAGGUGCUCCCACAAUGUGGUUGGGUGGACAUUCAGAUGGUAAUCUCAGUAAUUGUAACGCCAAACUGUGACAAAAUUACUCAAUUCAUCAGGAGCUGGAU